AGAGUUUGAUCCUGGCUCAGAUUGAACGCUGGCGGCAUGCCUUACACAUGCAAGUCGAACGGUAACAGGUCUUCGGAUGCUGACGAGUGGCGAACGGGUGAGUAAUGCAUCGGAACGUGCCCAUGUUGUGGGGGAUAACUACGCGAAAGCGUGGCUAAUACCGCAUACGCCCUGAGGGGGAAAGCGGGGGAUUCUUCGGAACCUCGCGCAAUUGGAGCGGCCGAUGUCAGAUUAGCUUGUUGGUGAGGUAAAGGCUCACCAAGGCGACGAUCUGUAGCGGGUCUGAGAGGAUGAUCCGCCACACUGGGACUGAGACACGGCCCAGACUCCUACGGGAGGCAGCAGUGGGGAAUUUUGGACAAUGGGGGCAACCCUGAUCCAGCCAUGCCGCGUGAGUGAAGAAGGCCUUCGGGUUGUAAAGCUCUUUCAGCCGGGAAGAAAACGCACGCUCUAACAUAGCGUGUGGAUGACGGUACCGGACCAAGAAGCACCGGCUAACUACGUGCCAGCAGCCGCGGUAAUAA
rnacentral:rRNA from 1 species